UUUCAACUGGAGAGUCCCAAAUAGGACGAAAUGUGCGUCUUCAAU
rnacentral:hammerhead_ribozyme from 1 species